rnacentral:rRNA from 1 species
UACGGGAGGCAGCAGUGGGGAAUAUUGCACAAUGGGCGCAAGCCUGAUGCAGCGACGCCGCGUGAGGGAUGACGGCCUUCGGGUUGUAAACCUCUUUCAGUAGGGACGAAGCGAAAGUGACGGUACCUACAGAAGAAGCACCGGCCAACUACGUGCCAGCAGCCGCGGUAAUACGUAGGGUGCAAGCGUUGUCCGGAAUUACUGGGCGUAAAGAGCUCGUAGGCGGUUUGUCACGUCGUCUGUGAAACCCCGAGGCUUAACCUCGGGCCUGCAGGCGAUACGGGCAGACUUGAGUACUGUAGGGGAGACUGGAAUUCCUGGUGUAGCGGUGGAAUGCGCAGAUAUCAGGAGGAACACCGGUGGCGAAGGCGGGUCUCUGGGCAGUAACUGACGCUGAGGAGCGAAAGCGUGGGUAGCGAACAGGAUUAGAUACCCUGGUAGUCCACGCCGUAAACGGUGGGUACUAGGUGUGGGUCACCUUCCACGGGAUCCGUGCCGUAGCUAACGCAUUAAGUACCCCGCCUGGGGAGUACGGCCGCAAGGCUAAAACUCAAAGGAAUUGACGGGGGCCCGCACAAGCGGCGGAGCAUGUGGAUUAAUUCGAUGCAACGCGAAGAACCUUACCUGGGUUUGACAUAUAGAGGAUCGCCGCACAGAUGCGGUUUGCCUUGUGCCUUCUAUACAGGUGGUGCAUGGCUGUCGUCAGCUCCUGUCGUGAGAUGUUGGGUUAAGUCCCGCAACGAGCGCCACCCUUGUUUCAUGUUGCCAGCACGUAAUGGUGGGACUCGU